CCACCUUUGACAUGUACGGAAUUCGCCAGAGAUGGCUUGUGCUCGAAAGAGAACCGUAACACAGGUGCUGCAUGGCUGUCGUCAGCUCGUGUCGUGAGAUGUUGGGUUAAGUCCCGCAACGAGCGCAACCCUUGUCAUUAGUUGCUACAUUUAGUUGGGCACUCUAAUGAGACUGCCGGUGACAAACCGGAGGAAGGUGGGGAUGACGUCAAGUCCUCAUGGCCCUUAUAGGUGGGGCUACACACGUCAUACAAUGGCUGGUACAAAGGGUUGCCAACCCGCGAGGGGGAGCUAAUCCCAUAAAACCAGUCGUAGUCCGGAUCGCAGUCUGCAACUCGACUGCGUGAAGUCGGAAUCGCUAGUAAUCGUGGAUCAGAAUGUCACGGUGAAUA
rnacentral:rRNA from 1 species